UCAUACACCCGUUAUUUCCCAACUGAAAUGGCGAAUCCACCUUCGGAGACGGAGAACUCACUUCAGAGUCUCCGCCAAUACAUGGCGGCGGAAUCUCAACUGAAGGCCGGUAUAGGGGAGGCGAAUCUCCUUCAGAUGCAGAGGUGACUACGGGGUUGGAGCAAUAUGCAGAUCAGAUCGACUCUGCAGAGCAUCUUAUUGGAAUUUGGCUGCAGACACUACAUGAUUUUGAGACGAUCUAUGUUUCGACUGAGGAGGAGAUGAGGCGUGCAUGCAGGUUCGUUCGUGAAGAAGGCUAUGGUGGCCGGGUGGGAGUAGUUCCUGGAGUCAGCCCUAAGAUGCUCUCCCUAAUGCGCAAUAUUGCUGUUGGUAAUGGUGUCGUUUGCAGAUAGGUCCAUAUACGGGGAACCAAAAGCUUAGUUUUGUGUUGCAAGGUGUGCCUGAGCUGAGGAGUAACAAGAGAGAUCAAGAUGUUAUUGCAUACGAGGUACCUGAAUUCACGUGUAAGCAUUAAACACAUCAAUGUCAUUUUUGUAUCGAUUGAAUGAUCCAAUCAACACUAACAAUUUGUUUGCCAUUUGAGAGAAUAUGCUCCCUCAACUUUAGAUUUUGUAAGACUCAGUUCAUAUUGCACUCUUUUAUGUAUUUUGCAUUGUCCUAA